rnacentral:tRNA from 1 species
GUGACUGUGGUGAAGUGGUUAACACGGCGGAUUGUGGUUCCGUUAUGCGUGGGUUCGAUCCCCAUCAGUCACCCCA